rnacentral:rRNA from 1 species
UACGUAGGGUGCGAGCGUUGUCCGGAAUUAUUGGGCGUAAAGAGCUCGUAGGCGGCUUGUCGCGUCGGAUGUGAAAGCCCGGGGCUUAACUCCGGGUCUGCAUUCGAUACGGGCAGGCUAGAGUUCGGUAGGGGAGAUCGGAAUUCCUGGUGUAGCGGUGAAAUGCGCAGAUAUCAGGAGGAACACCUGCGGCGAAGGCGGGUUGCUGGGCUGACACUGACGCUGAAGCGCGAAAGCUAGGGGAGCGAACGGG